GUCUAUGGCCAUGCCACCCUGAACACGCCCAAUCUCGUCUGAUCUCAGAAGCUAAGUGGGGCUGGGCCUGGUUAGUACUUGGAUUGGAGACCACCUAGGAAGACCAGGUGCAGUAGGCG
rnacentral:rRNA from 1 species